CGCGGGUGAUUCGGUUUUUUUUUUUUUUUUUUUUGGGCUCAAAAUCUGAGGUUUUGGAAAUGGAACGGUCGGAGAAUUUGAUUUCAUUUGUUUCGGUUUGUCAUUUGUUUAAUUAAUUUCUCUCAUUUUCAUCACAUUCCUUUAUUUUUAUUCUGGGAAAAGGAAGUUCAUGGACUUUCAAUAUGACUAGAAUCUGCUGAGUAUUUCUUCUUCUUUGUCCUAGAUAGUAGUUUAAGAGAGAUCCACUCUCUCAUGCUGCUGACUUAAUAUUGCAGGUUGCUAUGGCGGGUUAUUUGUGUGGCAGCCUGAAAUAUUGUGUUCGUCAACUAUGAAUUUUGGGUUUCUGAACAAUCUCCCAUUGUUUCAUAAGCAUUCAAAAAGAGACUUGCAGACAAUCCCUUAAUCUAAGAGUAUUAUCAUAGAACAAUCAAAGCCAAAUGCUGCCGUUAAUAUCAAGAUAUGGGUUUGGUCCCUACUUUCAGUUUUUCCAAUUGGGCUAUGAACGCCGGAGAAAAAUGUCAAUGUUUUUUCUUUUGUUAUGAUGAAGAUGUAAGCUAUCCAUUUUGUGUUUUCAUGUUUUGUAGGUUAAGAAUUUUCUGAUACGAAACGAAGCACGUUGGUCAAGAUAAGUGUUGGGCAACCUUUGCCCAAUUUCAGUUGGCUAAGCAAUGUGAAAUACAGAUAUUGGAAAAUGCAGAAAGUCUGAAAAUGCACCAGGGAUCGAUACUGUGCGGUGAAAACAUUGAUCUGAACCGAGGCCUCUUGACUUUGGCAGCUGAGUGAUUUCAGUUUGAGUUCCUCUCCUUUAUUUUCUAUAUUUUUUAUUGUGGGUUUCAGUGAUCACUUAGUCAUGUUGAUUGAAACUAAUUAAUUUGAAACCUUUUGUUUGGAUGAUACCUAUGCGCAAUUCUUUGUACAAAUGGCAUGCAUGCCCGCAAUGGAUUUAUUCUGUCUUCUUCGGCAUAUCUGCGCCUGUCUAUGGUGGAUUGUUUGCUCUUGAGACCAGACCUAACAAGGCCUUCCUGCAGCAGCUAGAUUGUCUUCCAGAUUGUUCACUUGUGUGAACAAUCCUGGGAAAAAAGUUGCAUGUCCAGUCUUUGGAACUAAUUCAGAUGUAGCUAACCUUAAAAUAAUAAAUUUAUUCCUGUGAGCAGGCCUUCCUGCUGCAGCUAGAGUCCAGUUGCAUAAGGCAAACACCCCUGAACAAGACCUUCAAAUAGCCCACUCUCAGGGUUUGCAAUUGGGGGUUGUGGUGGUACUUCAAAUAUUAGUUUGGUGAGUUCCCCUACCAACUGUUAAUGCCUUGAUAUAAAUAUUCUUCAGAUGCAUAUUAGUGAUACU